GCCCAGGUGGCGGAAUUGGUAGACGCGCUAGUUUCAGGUAUUAGUGACCGCGAGGUCGUGGGGGUUCGAGUCCCUUCCUGGGCACCA
rnacentral:tRNA from 1 species